rnacentral:rRNA from 1 species
UACGAAGGGGGGCUAGCGUUGCUCGGAAUCACUGGGCGUAAAGGGUGCGUAGGCGGGUCUUUUAAGUCAGGGGUGAAAUCCCAGAGCUCAACUCUGGAACUGCCUUUGAUACUGUCGAUCUGGAGUAUGGAAGAGGUGAGUGGAAUUCCGAGUGUAGAGGUGAAAUUCGUAGAUAUUCGGAGGAACACCAGUGGCGAAGGCGGCUCACUGGUCCAUUACUGACGCUGAGGUGCGAAAGCGUGGGGAGCAAACAGG